rnacentral:rRNA from 1 species
GGAUGCCCUUAGAUGUUCUGGGCUGCACGCGCGCUACACUGACGAGCUCAGCGAGUUUAUCACCUUGGCAGAGAUGUCUGGGUAAUCUUGUUAAAGCUCGUCGUGAUGGGGAUAGAUGAUUGUAAUUAUUCGUCUUGAACGAGGAAUUCCUAGUAAGUGCGANUCAUCAG